GUAGGGAAUCUUCGGCAAUGGACGGAAGUCUGACCGAGCAACGCCGCGUGAGUGAAGAAGGUUUUCGGAUCGUAAAGCUCUGUUGUAAGAGAAGAACGAGUGUGAGAGUGGAAAGUUCACACUGUGACGGUAUCUUACCAGAAAGGGACGGCUAACUACGUGCCAGCAGCCGCGGUAAUACGUAGGUCCCGAGCGUUGUCCGGAUUUAUUGGGCGUAAAGCGAGCGCAGGCGGUUAGAUAAGUCUGAAGUUAAAGGCUGUGGCUUAACCAUAGUACGCUUUGGAAACUGUUUAACUUGAGUGCAAGAGGGGAGAGUGGAAUUCCAUGUGUAGCGGUGAAAUGCGUAGAUAUAUGGAGGAACACCGGUGGCGAAAGCGGCUCUCUGGCUUGUAACUGACGCUGAGGCUCGAAAGCGUGGGGAGCAAACAGGAUUAGAAACCCCAGUAGUCCC
rnacentral:rRNA from 1 species